GAUGCAAUAGGGAGCCACUGAAGUUUAUUGAGUAGUUGGGUGACAUGAUCUGACCUGCUGACAUGAGGGUUCUCAGUUUUCCCAUUUACCACACGAAUGAUAUAGAAGAAAGGAAAUUUAAGAUUCCUGACAGUGCUCUAUCAUUCUAAGGUUGUAUUUUAUACUCUUACUUAAAGGUCUAGUUUGAGAUUAGCCUUUGGGAAUGGAUGGUAAGACUCAAGGCAACUUUUAUUGAAAUAUACCAUAAACUCAGAUUGCUCACAAAUCUAGUUUAAUUAACAAAACUCUUCAUCAUGGAAUUAUAUUUUCUUGAUUUUUUCUUUCUAUCUUAAAAUAUGUGUUCUCCAUAUGUACAUGUACAUAUUAAUGAUCCAUCAUUGCUAGGAUAAAUCUGCACGACAAAAUCAAUAGUUAGGUAUUUUAAUUAUGUGCUUCAACACAGAAAAUGGCAACUGAACUUGAAGCUUACAAAGUUCUAGCAUUUGUUCUUGGUUUCAUUAAUAUGAAGUCACAGAUGAAGGAGCUUAACAUUCAAUCCACAGUAAAGGACCUAUUCAGUAGGUAAUUCUUAAUUUUUUUCUUUCUACCUUAAAAUAUGUGUUCUCCAUAUGUACAUAUGGAGUAAGGUCCAGAGCCUACCUUCUUGGGGACAGUGUGAUUUGGAUGAAAACCAUAAUUUAAAUGUUGGAAGGGUU